AGAGCGAACGCUGGCGGCAGGCCUAAAACAUGCAAGUCGAACGAGCCCUUCGGGGUUAGUGGCGGGCGGGUGAGUAACACGUGGGAACGUGCCUUUUGGUUCGGAACAACUCAGGGAAACUUGAGCUAAUACCGAAUGUGCCCUUCGGGGGAAAGAUUUAUCGCCAUUAGAGCGGCCCGCGUCUGAUUAGCUAGUUGGUGAGGUAAAGGCUCACCAAGGCUUCGAUCAGUAGCUGGUCUGAGAGGAUGAUCAGCCACACUGGGACUGAGACACGGCCCAGACUCCUACGGGAGGCAGCAGUUAGGAAUCUUGCGCAAUGGGCGAAAGCCUGACGCAGCCAUGCCGCGUGAAUGAUGAAGGUCUUAGGAUUGUAAAAUUCUUUCAGCGGGGACGAUAAUGACGGUACCCGCAGAAGAAGCUCCGGCUAACUUCGUGCCAGCAGCCGC
rnacentral:rRNA from 1 species